UACGUAGGGUGCAAGCGUUAAUCGGAAUUACUGGGCGUAAAGCGUGCGCAGGCGGUUUUGUAAGUCUGUCGUGAAAUCCCCGGGCUUAACCUGGGAAUGGCAUUUGGGACUGCAAGGCUCGAGUGCGGCAGAGGAGACUGGAAUUCCUGGUGUAGCAGUGAAAUGCGUAGAUAUCAGGAGGAACACCGAUGGCGAAGGCAGGUCUCUGGGCUGACACUGACGCUCAUGCACGAAAGCGUGGGGAGCAAACAGG
rnacentral:rRNA from 1 species